CGCUGGCGGCGUGCCUAAUACAUGCAAGUCAACGGUCUUUCUAUGGAAGCUUGCUUCCACUGAGAAGAUAGUGGCGAACGGGUGAGUAACACGUGGGUAACCUGCCCAUAAGAGGGGGAUAACAUCCGGAAACGGGUGCUAAUACCGCAUAGUUUUCUUGAUCGCAUGAUCGGGAAAGGAAAGACGGCCUUUGUGCUGUCGCUUAUGGAUGGACCCGCGGCGUAUUAGUUAGUUGGUGAGGUAACGGCUCACCAAGACGAUGAUACGUAGCCGACCUGAGAGGGUGAUCGGCCACAUUGGGACUGAGACACGGCCCAAACUCCUACGGGAGGCAGCAGUAGGGAAUCUUCCGCAAUGGACGAAAGUCUGACGGAGCAACGCCGCGUGAGUGAAGAAAAGGUUUUCGGAUCGUAAAACUCUGUUGUCAGAGAGGAACAAGUUGGAGAGUAACUGCUCCAGCCUUGACGGUAUCUGACCAGAAAGCCACGGCUAACUACGUGCCAGCCGCCGC
rnacentral:rRNA from 1 species